rnacentral:rRNA from 1 species
GAUGAACGCUAGCUACAGGCUUAACACAUGCAAGUCGAGGGGAAACGAUAGAGAAAGCUUGCUUUUUCUAGGCGUCGACCGGCGCACGGGUGAGUAACGCGUAUCCAACCUGCCCAUCACUUGGGGAUAACCUUGCGAAAGUAAGACUAAUACCCAAUGACGUCUCUAGAAGACAUCUGAAAGAGAUUAAAGAUUUAUCGGUGAUGGAUGGGGAUGCGUCUGAUUAGCUUGUUGGCGGGGUAACGGCCCACCAAGGCGACGAUCAGUAGGGGUUCUGAGAGGAAGGUCCCCCACAUUGGAACUGAGACACGGUCCAAAACUCCUACGGGAGGCAGCAGUGAGGAAUAUUGGUCAAUGGACGAGAGUCUGAACCAGCCAAGUAGCGUGCAGGAUGACGGCCCUAUGGGUUGUAAACUGCUUUUAUAAGGGAAUAAAGUGAGUCUCGUGAGACUUUUUGCAUGUACCUUAUGAAUAAGGACCGGCUAAUUCCGUGCCAGCAGCCGCGG